AGAGGGUGGGUGCGGCGCCAAAUUCCCAAUUCCCGUCGGUUGAGGGUUCACUUAAAGAUGGACAAAGGAAAGAAACGCAGAAGAGAAGACGAAGAGAUCGAGGCCGUUGACAGCGACGCUAAUCAUUCUUAUUCUCUCGAGCAAAAUCUUAGCUUUAGCGACACUUUGGUGGCGCUUCGUAUGAUGCGAGUUCAGUUUCCUCAGAUUGACAAGGUGUCGAUUCAACCUUUUAUUUUACAGUCACAAUUGUAUAGCAGUGUAAAGGACAGAACACAAGUGGAUAGGGAGCUAGAGUCUCUAAGGAGGGAUAAAGUAGUGCGCAUUUUCAAACUAAAUACGGGGCAAGAUGAUCAUGGUAUAAUGUUUUUAGAUGAUUAUCUAAAACAGGUAGAGCAUGUUGUCAAAAGAAUGGAAGGAAAGAAACAAGGCAAUCUUGAAGUUUUUAAGUGGUUCAAAGUGCAUGUUAUUGAGUCCAAGCUGGAACCUAGCAUUGGACAUCAAGAACUUUAUGCACUCUUAUCUCUAGGGGGACGGGUGAAAGAUGAGCACAUAUCCCUCCUAAUCAAUGCUGGCCUUCUUACUCGCCAGUUGAUUGACCCAAGUAUGUACUGGUUUGCAAUUCCAAAUAUUGGUUCAAUACUAAAAGGCCUCUCCCAGGGAAGGAAGGAACUCUUCUCUCUUUUAAAUCGUAGGAGAUAUAAAGAGAUGAUGUUGGCUUCUUUGGAGAAGAAGCGCCUUAGAUUGUCUCCUCUUGAUAUGAGGUUUCACCUACGUGACUUGAUUGGAUCGGGUCAUAUUAAAACAGUCCAUACACCGACUGGUAUAGUUGUUCGGGUUUCAAAGGAUUAGAUCUCAGGAAGAUACUACAAGCAGUGACAGGUGGAUUAUUUUGCCUCUCUUUUGGCUCAGUCUUGAAUAUCAGGUUGAUGGAACAACUGCGGACAAUUUUCAUUCGAUCGUGUGAGUGUCUAUUCUUCUAAAUCUUUUACUGUUCAAAACAAAUUCAAGAGAGAAACUACAUGCUAGUUUUUUAACCAUUAAGACCGUUGGAGUGACUAGUUUAUUGACGGUUUUCUUUAAAAAGCCGGAAAUGUGACUUCUCUUGGUAUUAAAUGAUUCAGUUUGACCUUGUAAUAUUAUCUAUACACACUUGCGCUUGAGAUUUGA